GGGUGGUUGGCCGAACGGAAAGGCACCGGUCUUGAAAACCGGCGAGGCAGCGAUGCCGUGGGGGUUCGAGUCCCUCACCACCCGCCA
rnacentral:tRNA from 1 species